rnacentral:rRNA from 1 species
AACGAACGCUGGCGGCAUGCCUAACACAUGCAAGUCGAACGAGACCUUCGGGUCUAGUGGCGCACGGGUGCGUAACGCGUGGGAACCUGCCCUUAGGUUCGGAAUAACUCCCCGAAAGGGGUGCUAAUACCGGAUAAUGUCUUCGGACCAAAGAUUUAUCGCCUUUGGAUGGGCCCGCGUUGGAUUAGCUAGUUGGUAGGGUAAAAGCCUACCAAGGCGACGAUCCAUAGCUGGUCUGAGAGGAUGAUCAGCCACACUGGGACUGAGACACGGCCCAGACUCCUACGGGAGGGAGGAGUGGGGAAUAUUGGAAAAUGGGCGAAAGCCUGAACCAGCAAUGCCGCGUGAGUGAUGAAGGCCUUAGGGUUGUAAAGCUCUUUUACCCGGGAUGAUAAUGACAGUACCGGGAGAAUAAGCUCCGGCUAACUCCGUG